rnacentral:lncRNA from 1 species
CGCGCGCGAUGUGGGAACUCGCGGCCGGAGCGCCCGGGGAGGCCGGGCCCACGACGCCCGCGGCUCCGCUGCGGCAGCGGCGGUGCUGGUGGCGCGCGCGGCCGGGAGGCGGCUUCGCGCCGUGGGCGGGAGGCUGCGGCGGGCGACCCGUCCUGGACACGCGAGGAAGAGCGAGCCGAUGGCGGCAGCGGCCGCGCUUCGACCCGGUAACUUAGAAGAUGAUAAUUAAUGUGGUUGCUGAUAAUUCUGAAUAAAUACAGCUUUUAUCCCAGGUGUGCCAUUUUGAAGACUGAGACCAUAGAGUUCUAAGAAUAAAGGAAAGAGCCCUUGGGAAAUUAUUAUAUAUAGCAAAAAUGUGAAUCCUCAGAUGGAAUGAAAGGCCUGCACCAUAGACAUUGAAGCAUUUAAAUUUUUUUCUUCUAAUUUUUUAUGAAGCACCCCGCUUGAAGAGUUUGAAAUGGACUUUACUACUGAGAAAUCAAGAUGGCAGCCCAUUAUGGGGGAAUUGAGGAAAAUGGAUUAAUGCAAGAAUGCUGUAAUAUUAUACAACCAACACAGGAUUCUUUUAAUGUGGAUUCCAUGAAAUGAAUGAUUCUUACCCAACACAAAUGGACAGUGGAAUUUACUUCCUAAAGACUUGUUACAUGUCAUGUACAUUUUUGACAUCUGGAGAAGACUCUACAAUUCUACAAAUGGUAGUUUGUAUUCCUGGAAUUUCUUGCAGUUUGAUUUGAAGUGACCUUAUGGAAUGUUAACUUUAAUAAAAUCUCUAAAACUUAAAAA